UUGCAAUGAUGAGAUUCCUACUUCUGGUCCGUGUUUCUGACUACUGAUUGUAUUGGAAGUUCUGAGCCC